rnacentral:rRNA from 1 species
GAUCCUGGCUCAGGAUGAACGCUAGCUACAGGCUUAACACAUGCAAGUCGAGGGGCAUCAGUUUGGUUGCUUGCAAACCAAGCUGGCGACCGGCGCACGGGUGAGUAACACGUAUCCAACCUGCCUCAUACUCGGGGAUAGCCUUUCGAAAGAAAGAUUAAUAUCCGAUAGCAUAUAUUUCCCGCCAUGGGGUUUUAUAUUAAAGAAAUUCGGUAUGAGAUGGGAUGCGUUCCAUUAGUUGUUGGCGGGGUAACGGCCCACCAAGACUACGAUGGAUAGGGGUUCUGAGAGGAAGGUCCCCCACAUUGGAACUGAGACACGGUCCAAACUCCUACGGGAGGCAGCAGUGAGGAAUAUUGGUCAAUGGACGCGAGUCUGAACCAGCCAAGUAGCGUGAAGGAUGACUGCCCUAUGGGUUGUAAACUUCUUUUAUAUGGGAAUAAAGUGGUCCACGUGUGGAUUUUUGUAUGUACCAUAUGAAUAAGGAUCGGCUAACUCCGUG